rnacentral:tRNA from 1 species
GGGUGCUUAGCUCAGUGGGUAGAGCGGCGCCCUUACAAGGCGUAGGUCGGGGGUUCGAGCCCCUCAGCACCCACCA